AACGAACGCUGGCGGCAGGCCUAACACAUGCAAGUCGAACGCCGUAGCAAUACGGAGUGGCAGACGGGUGAGUAACACGCGGGAACAUACCCUUUGGUUCGGAAUAACUCAGGGAAACUUGAGCUAAUACCGGAUAAGCGCUUAGGCGGAAAGAUUUAUCGCCGAAGGAUUGGCCCGCGUCCGAUUAGCUAGUUGGUGAGGUAACGGCUCACCAAGGCGACGAUCGGUAGCUGGUCUGAGAGGAUGAUCAGCCACAUUGGGACUGAGACACGGCCCAAACUCCUACGGGAGGCAGCAGUGGGGAAUAUUGGACAAUGGGCGCAAGCCUGAUCCAGCCAUGCCGCGUGAGUGAUGAAGGCCCUAGGGUUGUAAAGCUCUUUUGUGUGGGAAGAUAAUGACUGUACCACAAGAAUAAGCCCCGGCUAACUUCGUG
rnacentral:rRNA from 1 species